UUUCAGAGGUUACAUGUUGCUACAAAGUGAAGUUGAGCAGGGCAUUUGGUACACCAGCUGUCAGACAAUGGUACCCUUGGCUCUCCCCACCACUUUCAUUCCACAUUUAGACUGUCUUUCCCACACAGAAAAUCAAAUAAAGCAUCAUGUCGCUAUUGUUCCAGUCACAGAUUUGUAUUGUGGCGGUGAAAGAAGCCAAGUAACCUGCAUAAAGCAGCUUCUGCCAGGACAUUCUGAAGGCAAAAUCUCUUGUUAAUAUUUAUUUGUACAGACUUUACCCAUUGCCAUGGAUGCUCUGCCUCCACAAAACUGCUGAAGCAGUGACGCAGCAGGCAGAGGAAUAACUAAGCCUGAGAUUAGGUUCUUGAAGAGUAGAAAAUGGCUUUAAAAGUGCUUUCUUUGGUAAUCCUGAAAUGUGACCACAAGAACCAUCAGUUUGCAAGUGGUGGUCAAAAUCAUCAUGGCUUUUCUUCAGGCUGAUUGCCACAAAAAGAGACAUUCUGAGGGCGUUGAUGCACCAAAACCUGAAUCCUCAGCCAGGAGGACAGUGAGCAGCUGGAGGACCAGGCCAGCAGGCAUUGUAUGCUGUGUGACAAGAAGCAGCUCCAGGGUGUGCCCCUGCAGCCCAAUGUGCCCAGGUGUGGAAGGGAUGGGGUAAGAGCAGCAGCCCUGCCUUAACGGCAUCACCAGGGGUGCUGGGCACCGGCACUGCUCUCACUGCAGAGAGGAAAAGAAAACAAAAACCAAGCUUGUUUGGACAGGGACACCCUUGCACAGUGCUGCGAGGUCACGCCUGGAUCCCAUGCUUUGGUUUGAGCCCCCAGUUUAGGAGAGAGGUGGGAAGACUGGAGUGGAGGGUGAGUGUUGGGCUGGGAGGUGCCAGGCAGGUGAGGCAGGCACAGGAGGCAGAAAGGCUCCACCUCAGCUGCUGCUCCAGGAGUCCCAGGGGAGCUGGAGCUGAAGUUGCACUGCAGCCAGCACUGGGGGAGGGAGCAGGGCAGGCUGGGCUGACGCUGCCCUGGCGAUGCCAUGGCAGCCUUGGGGUCCUGCCAGCUGCCGUACAGGGCCCUGGAAGGGAGCUGCAGUUAAGGCCCUGCAGCAGCACCUCGGCUCUUGGGGGAGGUGUGAGCAAAGGUUGGCCAGCACUUGGAUCCAGGUGAUUAGAAGCCAUCUGUACCUCUUUGUGCUUGGGACAGCUGCUCAAAGGACCCUGUUACUGCAGAAGGAUGGCUGCAAAGAAAAAGGAGGUAGUGCUGCAGGUCAGUAGUAGCCAGGCUUUUACCAGACCUUAUAAACUCUUAAGUGCAAAGGAUGGAGUUCAGUCUUGGGGUGUCUCAGAUUCUUCUGGCAAAGCCCCACUGCGAAGUCCUCAUGGGGAAGAGGUGUCCCUGGAGGCGGG
rnacentral:lncRNA from 1 species